rfam:Asian citrus Psyllid, Diaphorina citri - Florida Strain, whole genome shotgun sequence.
CCCUGCGGUGAUAGCACGUUCAAUACACCAGUUCUCAACGGAUCACUGGAGUUAAAUAACGUUGCAAGUGGUUGCUAUCCGGAUCGGUGACCAUACUGACUAUCUGGGCAAUCGCGCUGU